rnacentral:lncRNA from 1 species
CCCUGGUUGGCAACAACGCACAGGAGCGCCCCACAUGUCGACUCGACACCCUGCGGCGCCCGCGGAUGCGCCACUCGGGUAAAUGCGCGUUGCUGUCUUUUUGUUAACUUUUUUCUUUCGACCGUUGAUAUCGCCCAAUCCGCGCAGGCCUCUGUCCCCGCGGACGGUAGAUUAGGACGACAUCACCAUGGAGGCGCUGCUAACCACGCCACGCCCCUUUUUCGUGCGAUUUCCGGGCGGCACCGUGGCCCGCUAUCCCUUUGCGCGUCACUUUGCACCGGACAGGUCCGGAUGCUCUGAACGCAUUGACCGCUCCGCAAAAGACAAUUAUGACAACGACGACGAGUAAGUGUGUGUGCUUGCAUUAAAUUGUCGGGACCGGAUGGAACGUAAUGCCGUGCGGCCAGUUUAAUGGGGCGGCCGAAAAAGGGUCGACAUUAAAAUCUCCUCUCGUGUUGCAAAAGGACGGCUGGUCCCCAUUUGGAAAUCGCGAUCUUGAUCGCCUUGGCCGGCAUGGCGGGUGCGGCCCUUUGUCGCAGUCAGUGCGCGCCUGAAAGAGAGGGAGACGGCCCAGGGUCGCGCCCGCAUCGAGGCCAUUGGGCAAACUGUGUCUGGCGGGCGACCGACGCCACAAUAAAGAUUUGGAAAAAAAAAGAGAACAAACAGC